AGAGUUUGAUCCUGGCUCAGGAUGAACGCUGGCGGCGUGCCUAAUACAUGCAAGUCGAGCGAACGGACGAGAAGCUUGCUUCUCUGAUGUUAGCGGCGGACGGGUGAGUAACACGUGGAUAACCUACCUAUAAGACUGGGAUAACUUCGGGAAACCGGAGCUAAUACCGGAUAAUAUUUUGAACCGCAUGGUUCAAAAGUGAAAGACGGUCUUGCUGUCACUUAUAGAUGGAUCCGCGCUGCAUUAGCUAGUUGGUAAGGUAACGGCUUACCAAGGCAACGAUGCAUAGCCGACCUGAGAGGGUGAUCGGCCACACUGGAACUGAGACACGGUCCAGACUCCUACGGGAGGCAGCAGUAGGGAAUCUUCCGCAAUGGGCGAAAGCCUGACGGAGCAACGCCGCGUGAGUGAUGAAGGUCUUCGGAUCGUAAAACUCUGUUAUUAGGGAAGAACAUAUGUGUAAGUAACUGUGCACAUCUUGACGGUACCUAAUCAGAAAGCCACGGCUAACUACGUGCCAGCAGCCGCGGUAAUACGUAGGUGGCAAGCGUUAUCCGGAAUUAUUGGGCGUAAAGCGCGCGUAGGCGGUUUUUUAAGUCUGAUGUGAAAGCCCACGGCUCAACCGUGGAGGGUCAUUGGAAACUGGAAAACUUGAGUGCAGAAGAGGAAAGUGGAAUUCCAUGUGUAGCGGUGAAAUGCGCAGAGAUAUGGAGGAACACCAGUGGCGAAGGCGACUUUCUGGUCUGUAACUGACGCUGAUGUGCGAAAGCGUGGGGAUCAAACAGGAUUAGAUACCCUGGUAGUCCACGCCGUAAACGAUGAGUGCUAAGUGUUAGGGGGUUUCCGCCCCUUAGUGCUGCAGCUAACGCAUUAAGCACUCCGCCUGGGGAGUACGACCGCAAGGUUGAAACUCAAAGGAAUUGACGGGGACCCGCACAAGCGGUGGAGCAUGUGGUUUAAUUCGAAGCAA
rnacentral:rRNA from 2 species